UUUAACCCGGAUUUUGAAUACUGGAAUGCAACAAUAGCAACAACGUUGUUUCCAUCAGCUAAUGAUAUAUAUGUUGUAUUUGAACAUAGAAAAACUUGUCGAACGUAUUUUGUGAGAUAUACAGGCGGAGAUUACCAGGAAACUUCAUCACAAAACUAUACCUUUAAGCGUCUUCCUCCAGGACAAUAUUGGAUAGAGGUUAAGUGUUGUCGUGUUGACAAUUUAUGCUGUGUCUAUAAAACCUUCCACGAAAUCACAAUAGGCGAGUCUAAGGAAAUUAUUCCUCCUCAAAAUGAGCAGUUAACCAAAAUAUUAUUAGUAGUGGGAUUUUGUAUAUCUACUCUGUUGGUAAUUGCCUUGGUAUUAUUGAAACGACGAAGAAAAAAGGCAUUGACGG